rnacentral:misc_RNA from 1 species
UUAAAGAGAAGAAAAUGUUUUACUUCAAUGAUAGUGAAGAAAUCCCUCUCUUGCAGGAGCUUGAAAAGCUAUUCUGCAAUUAAGCAUGGUGGAUUCAACAUUUCUUUCUUUAACACCACAAAGUCAUAUUUUUCCAGAUAAUCUACAGCUUAUGACUACUAAAAAUGCUCUACAAGAAUGGCCCAUAAUUCAGAAAUUGCAGUCGCAGAAUGAAACGUAACUACACAUGAUAAACUGCAGAGAGAAGGGAAUGCUUUAUCAAUUAGCUAUAUGCCACUAUCUUUCUAAGAACAAGCCCUAUACAAAAAACCCCACCUAACUAUUUUACUCAUUUUUAACGCAAGAAAACCAACAGGCAACUUAUUCUGCAGUGAUCCUCUUGACAUUUAUGUGGGGGGCUUAAUCAGGCUUAGCGACCAGAAACAAAUAUUGAAUUGGUUGAUAUUUGGUUCCCAUCAACCUGAACUUUUUUGACCUUUGCCUUGUCAAUACGAGCUCGUCUGACAGCUUCUUGGAUCUGGCGAUCAUGAUCCUUCAGCAUUUGAUCCAUUUUUCCUGAUGGAACUAACAAUGGACCAGAAUAGUGAAUUUUGUGAUCCUUUGACCCAUAGCCAACAAGGACUGGAUCAUUAUUGCUGAUUCUUCCAUCUUCUUUUUGGUGAGAGCUUGCAAUGCCCUGAGAGUAAUGCUUUUGAUCCUGGACAAGGGAUUCCGAGGCUUCCUUGAAGGACCCUGGAAACCUCGCCAUUAAUUUAGGAACUUCUGGCUGUGAUGGGCCAGACCUUUCUCUGUGGUCUUCAGAUAAUAAACUCCUUCUUGCUGCCACUAAGCCUGACAUUGUUGACAAGUCAGCCCCAGUAGAAACCUUUGGAGCAUCAUCUAGGUUUCUACCAGCCUUUGCCCAAGCAGAACGGUGGGCCAAUGGCCCAGAAUGAGAGGCUCUCCUAUGCUGAAGCCCCUGUGGAUCGAUACUCGAUUCCACAGCUUGUGAUGGUCUAGGUGGAUCUAUUGGAAAACCGGAAGCCACCUCUUCUGGAUGAGAGUUAAAUUUCUCACUCCGGCUCUUAGAAUUUGACUGACCUUGCCUUUUCUGCAUUGAUAUGACUAAUUCAGCAUUGGCAUCAGGUGCUGGGAUUGCUCGGGAUUCCCUUGCUCCUCUUCUUUCAAUAUCAGGUCUCUGGCCCUUGCCUCCUGUUGCUCCUCGUCUUCUAGCUUCCUCAUCCCGUAGUUUUGCAUCAAACUCUUUGCUGGGAGGAUACUUGGGCAGGCUUGAAGGAUCACAAGGAAGUGGUUCUGUUGUAAAGAACUCACUGUUCAGAGCAGAAGCUGCAGUUCCACGAUCUACAGGGUCAAUAGAAAGUAGGGUCUCCAUAAGUGCUAAAGCUGGUGCAGGGAAUUCCUUAAAUGUUUCUGCAACACAGCGUCUAUAAGGUUGUUGAGGCUUAAAGAUAGUUGCAUGAGGCAAUUUUGAUUUUUUCCAAUAAUCCUCAGAAGGUGAGCCGCACAGCUUGAAAAUUUUAUGCAGCUGCUCCACCUCAGUUCUUCCAGGCAUAAUAGGCUUGCCAGCAUAUAGUUCAGCAAGUAUGCAACCUGUACUCCAUAAAUCAACAGCAAUCCCAUAGUAAGUGCCUCCAAGAAGAAGCUCCGGAGGACGGUACCAAAGUGUUACAACACGACUUGUGAGUGGUUGAACAUGAGCUGGAUCAUAAAAACUUGCUAGUCCAAAGUCUGCAAUUUUUAAGAUACCAUUGUUGUCGAUUAAUAAGUUGGAACCUUUUAUGUCACGAUGUAGAACACCAUGGCUGUGGCAGUGAUCAAGUCCCUGUAAAAGUUGUUGCAUGUAACAUUUCACCUGUGGCUCUGUAAACUUUAGACCAGGAUGUGAGGCAAGCCCAGCCAAAUCAUGCUCCAUGUAU